GCCGGGGUGGCGAAAUUGGUAGACGCAUCAGCUUUAGGAGCUGACGGUCGAAAGACUGUGAAGGUUCGAGUCCUUUCCCCGGCA
rfam:Candidatus Berkelbacteria bacterium CG1_02_42_45 cg1_0.2_scaffold_3922_c, whole genome shotgun sequence.